GGACAUUAGCAGCAGCUGCAGGAAUUGCUGCUGCUCUGCUACUUGUCAUACUCCUUUCCAUCUUCCUGUGGAUUAGAAGAAAAAGGACCUCGACUCAAACCCCUGGACCUGAAGCACAAGAAGACACAGAGCAGUUAAACCACCCGCCUGUGCACAGCAGCAUCUCAGCCGUGGGACAGGAGCCGAUCCGUGCAGCUCAGAGCAAACCAGCUGAGCAGGAUGAGCAUCACUACAGCAGCCUACACUUCUCUAAGAAAAAUCCCCUGUACUCCAUCGACCAGCCGCCCCAGCCCCAGCCCCAGCCAGAGGAGGAAGUCCAGUAUGCUGCUGUCAACAUCUGCAGCGCUGACAUCGCCCCCAGGUUCACUGUAUCAACAGGAGAUGAGUACUGCACAGUACACAAAAAAACCAAAAACAAUAAAUGAGCACCAUAAAGAGCAGUGUACAUAUGCAGUGUACAAAGAGUGUGUUAUAAAGUGAGAGAGCAAGAGGAAGGGAAAGAGUGAGGGUUUCCCCUUGUAACUGUUGACGUGGCAGCAAGGAUUCUCAACUUGCAUAUGAUCCUUUGUGCUUUGUCACAUCUUUGUAUAUUUUGAAUAUUUUUUGUGUGCACCUCUUCUCUCAUGUGUGUUUCUAUCAUUUCUUAUUGAUGCACUUGUGUGUGUUUUCAUAUUUCUAUGUGGUGUGUUUUGUGGACGUGCUGUGUAAACACUGGAAAUAAAACUGUAAUACAAAUAAGUUUCUUUAUUUUCCAUUUGGUAUCAGCGACACAAAAUCACCAUGAAGCUUCCCAAUGAAGCCAAAAAGUCCCACAAACUAACAGAAAGUGCCAUCAAGUUUAACUGUGACUGUGAAUAGUCCCACUAAGAUUGCUUUGGUGAUUGUUGAGUUUCUAAUGUCAAUAUCAACUCAUUUUGUUCAUUAUAUCAUUUAUUUUUUAUUUCUUUGUUCCUCAUUGUGUAUUUGUUUUUUUUAUAAGCCUCAAGGGGUGUUUUAUUCUCACCUGAACAAUCUGUUUCAUUUGUUUUUCUCUUUUGCGUGUGUCCCAUUGUGCCAAUAAAAU
rnacentral:lncRNA from 1 species